UUUGGAAUAGUAUAGGUGGUAGUACGAAAAAUUUUGGAUUUUUAAGUGGAGGUUCGAAUCCUCCUUCCUUAG
rnacentral:tRNA from 1 species